rnacentral:rRNA from 1 species
GGAGGAAAGCAGGGGAUCGCAAGACCUUGCGCUCAUUGAGCGGCCGAUGCCUGAUUAGCUAGUUGGUGAGGUAAAGGCUUACCAAGGCGACGAUCAGUAGCUGGUCUGAGAGGACGACCAGCCACACUGGGACUGAGACACGGCCCAGACUCCUACGGGAGGCAGCAGUGGGGAAUUUUGGACAAUGGGGGAAACCCUGAUCCAGCCAUGCCGCGUGAGUGAAGAAGGCCUUCGGGUUGUAAAGCUCUUUCAGCCGGAACGAAACGGUCACGGCUAAUACCUGUGACUACUGACGGUACCGGAAGAAGAAGCACCGGCUAACUACGUGCCAGCAGCCGCGGUAAUACGUAGGGUGCGAGCGUUAAUCGGAAUUACUGGGCGUAAAGCGUGCGCAGGCGGUUUUGUAAGUCAGAUGAGAAAUCCCCGGGCUUAACCUGGGAACUGCGUUUGAAAUACGAGGCUAGAAGGGC